CCUACGGGGGGCAGCAGUGAGGAAUAUUGGUCAAUGGGCGCUAGCCUGAACCAGCCAAGUAGCGUGAAGGAUGACUGCCCUAUGGGUUGUAAACUUCUUUUAUAUGGGAAUAAAGUGCAGUAUGUAUACUGCUUUGCAUGUACCUUAUGAAUAAGGAUCGGCUAACUCCGUGCCAGCAGCCGCGGUAAUACGGAGGAUCCGAGCGUUAUCCGGAUUUAUUGGGUUUAAAGGGAGCGUAGGUGGAUUGUUAAGUCAGUUGUGAAAGUUUGCGGCUCAACCGUAAAAUUGCAGUUGAAACUGGCAGUCUUGAGUACAGUAGAGGUGGGCGGAAUUCGUGGUGUAGCGGUGAAAUGCUUAGAUAUCACGAAGAACUCCGAUUGCGAAGGCAGCUCACUGGACUGCAACUGACACUGAGGCUCGAAAGUGUGGGUAUCAAACAGGAUUAGAUACCCUUGUAGUC
rnacentral:rRNA from 1 species